rnacentral:rRNA from 1 species
GAUGAACGCUGGCGGCGUGCCUAAUACAUGCAAGUCGAGCGAACAGACGAGGAGCUUGCUCCUCUGACGUUAGCGGCGGACGGGUGAGUAACACGUGGAUAACCUACCUAUAAGACUGGGAUAACUUCGGGAAACCGGAGCUAAUACCGGAUAAUAUAUUGAACCGCAUGGUUCAAUAGUGAAAGGCGGUUUUGCUGUCACUUAUAGAUGGAUCCGCGCCGCAUUAGCUAGUUGGUAAGGUAACGGCUUACCAAGGCAACGAUGCGUAGCCGACCUGAGAGGGUGAUCGGCCACACUGGAACUGAGACACGGUCCAGACUCCUACGGGAGGCAGCAGUAGGGAAUCUUCCGCAAUGGGCGAAAGCCUGACGGAGCAACGCCGCGUGAGUGAUGAAGGUCUUCGGACCGUAAAACUCUGUUAUUAGGGAAGAACAAAUGUGUAAGUAACUAUGCACGUCUUGACGGUACCUAAUCAGAAAGCCACGGCUAACUACGUG